rnacentral:rRNA from 1 species
UACGUAGGGGGCAAGCGUUGUCCGGAAUUAUUGGGCGUAAAGAGCGUGUAGGCGGCCAGAUAAGUCCGCUGUGAAAACUCGAGGCUCAACCUCGAGACGUCGGCGGAAACCAUCUGGCUAGAGUCCGGAAGAGGAGAGUGGAAUUCCUGGUGUAGCGGUGAAAUGCGCAGAUAUCAGGAAGAACACCCGUGGCGAAGGCGGCUCUCUGGGACGGUACUGACGCUGAGACGCGAAAGCGUGGGGAGCGAACAGG